rnacentral:rRNA from 1 species
CCUACGCGCGACAGCAGUGAAGAAUAUUGGUCAAUGGACGCAAGUCUGAACCAGCCAUGCCGCGUGCAGGAAGACGGCUCUAUGAGUUGUAAACUGCUUUUGUACGAGGGUAAACGCAGAUACGUGUAUCUGUCUGAAAGUAUAGUACGAAUAAGGAUAGGCUAACUCCGUGCCAGCAGCCGCGGUAAUACGGAGGAUUCAAGCGUUAUCCGGAUGUAUUGGGUUUAAAGGGUGCGUAGGCGGUCGGAUAAGUUAGAGGUGAAAUCCCGAGGCUCAACUGCGGAAUUGCCUCUGAUACUGUUCGGCUAGAGCGUUGUUGCGAUAGGCGAAAUG